ACGGGGAAUUAGGGUUCGAUUCCGGAGAGGGAGCCUGAGAAACGGCUACCACAUCUAAGGAAGGCAGCAGGCGCGCAAAUUACCCAAUCCUAAUACAGGGAGGUAGUGACAAGAAAUAACAAUACAGAGCCUUACGGUUUUGUAAUUGGAAUGAGUUAAGUAUAAACCCCUUAACAAGUAUCAAUUGGAGGGCAAGUCUGGUGCCAGCAGCCGCGGUAAUUCCAGCUCCAAUAGCGUAUAUAAAAGUUGUUGCAGUUAAAAAGCUCGUAGUUAAUUUUCUGUUAAUUUUUAUAUACAAUACUACGGUAUUUAUAUAAUAUUAACAUAAUUCAUAUUACUUUUUAGUAUAUGAAACUUUACUUUGAGAAAAUUAGAGUGCUUAAAGCAGGCUAUUGCCUUGAAUACUCCAGCAUGGAAUAAUAUUAAGGAUUUUUAUUCUUCUUAUUGGUUCUAGAAUAAAAAUAAUGAUUAAUAGGGACAGUUGGGGGCAUUUGUAUUUAACAGUCAGAGGUGAAAUUCUUAGAUUUGUUAAAGACAAACUACUGCGAAAGCAUUUGCCAAGGAUGUUUUCAUUAAUCAAGAACGAAAGUUAGGGGAUCGAAGACGAUCAGAUACCGUCGUAGUCUU
rnacentral:rRNA from 1 species